rnacentral:rRNA from 1 species
AACGAACGUUAGCGGCGCGCUUAACACAUGCAAGUCGAGCGAGAAGGGGCAACCCCGGUAAAGCGGCGCACGGGUGAGUAACACGUAGGUAAUCUACCCCCAGGUGGUGGAUAACCCUUCCGAAAGGAAGACUAAUACCAGGCAUGGGACCACGACUCCGAAAGGGGUUGAGGUGAAAGUCGGCCUCUUUACGAAAGCCGACGCCAGGGGAUGAGCCUGCGGCCCAUCAGCUAGUUGGUAGGGUAAUGGCCUACCAAGGCAAAGACGGGUANCUGGUCUGAGAGGAUGAUCAGCCACACUGGAACUGAGACACGGUCCAGACUCCUACGGGAGGCAGCAGUGGGGAAUCUU